rnacentral:rRNA from 1 species
GAUCCUGGCUCAGGAUGAACGCUGGCGGCGUGCCUAAUACAUGCAAGUCGAACGAGUUCUCGUUGAUGAUCGGUGCUUGCACCGAGAUUCAACAUGGAACGAGUGGCGGACGGGUGAGUAACACGUGGGUAACCUGCCCUUAAGUGGGGGAUAACAUUUGGAAACAGAUGCUAAUACCGCAUAGAUCCAAGAACCGCAUGGUUCUUGGCUGAAAGAUGGCGUAAGCUAUCG